GUGACAAAUCGAGAGGGAGCAUUGCAGACUGGAGCGUUAGUGGGGGGAGAAGAAUCCCUGGAUAAGGUAGACGCGAACCGGGCCUUGAGGCAGCCGGUUCCCGACGAAGGUCACAGGAAUGAUCAAAGAGUGGGCACUUGACCCAAACAGAGCCAAGUUCCAACGUGAAGAUUUUCAAGGACAGCUUCCAAGGGAAAAAGAGUCUUCUCCUCUCUGGAAGGGAGGCCAAGCCCUUGGCGUCUUUGAAGAAGCUAGCAUCCAGUAAGAGAGCAGCCACAGAGAAGAGGUGCAGCACAGGCUUUGGGUCUGCCAGCUCCAUCCUGGAGGCCAGUUGUAUCUUUAUCCUUUCUGGCUUUGAUUACAUGAGCCAGUUUGAAGAUAUCUUCCCUGAAAAUACAAUAUCAAGAUAUUUAUCUAACACCUCUUCCGAACCGUCAGAAAACCUCUCCACUGUCCAAAAGCGACUGGGGCUUUGACAAACUUAAUGACAUACAACCUUCAGUGCUUCCUCUCAUACCAGUGCCAAGAACCUCUCACUUUAUGCCCAGGAGUCUCUCCUUUAGGAUGAAGUUUGGUGCAUCUGGAAACAAGCACAGGCUGGAAACAUAAGGAAAUUUACCUUCAGGAGACCUCCCUCAGUUAAUGCAAGAUGGGGCUAAUGGAUUCAUGUUUCACCCUAUCAUCUUCCAGGAGUGCUGUUCUGAGAUAUAUUUCGUAAGAUCUCUAAAAAGGUCAAUGCAUAGAAAACCAGUUGUCCCAAACUAUGUGAUUAAAUUUGAUAAUGCCUUCUAAUAUUGCCUUUUCCUGCUUCUGUGUUUUCUUCUCCCCACAUUCCCCCUACUGCUUAGCAUCACUUCCCAAAUAAAUACCUGUUU